rnacentral:rRNA from 1 species
GAAUAUUCAACCCGUAGUAUCUUAUCCGCUCCCUCCCCUCCAUAUUCUGUACAGUACGUCGCCGCCGCCGGCCGCCGUUCUUCUCCGCCCGUCGGCCGCCGUGGCCGAUCCGGGAGACGGUGCUGGAAAGCGUGGCGGCGUACCACCACCACCAGCGGAUGCGCCGCAGGUUCCGCAAGAGCCUCUCCUGCCCGCUACACAAGGCUCACCGGCGGUGCGACGGGAGAGCUCCGACCCGUCCAUAAGUGCGGGGACGCAGGUCCGCGUCGCCAGCAUGUACAAGGCCACGGUUGAUGCGCCGGCGCAAAGGUCAUCGUGCAUCUUCGUCUGGUGGUUUGGUGCAUGAGGAGAUUUUUCAUAGUAAUCAUAACAAUUCCUUUCCGAUGAGAAUAUAAGCUGAAACUAGACACAUCCUCAUCAGAACCAGAAGCCGAGAUGCAAAUAUGCAAUUAAAUAUAGAAUCUUUAUGUGGUGUGCACAAGAUGAACAACAUGAGAGAAUGGAGCGGGAAUCGGAAUCGAAUGGAAAACAGAGUUAGCGGCUCAGAUCAGCGACAUGAACUCCUCAAUUUUCCCUAUUAUAUUAGCCCAAGGAUGGAGUAUCUUUAUCCUGCUCUUGCCAGUGGGAUACGAAAGGCGCUCUUCCAUCCAAUUCCUCGACCCGGUCAUCCCAAGUACAUUGUGAAUGGUGCUUGAUUGUAGCGAAGCGUCACUGAAUAAAAUGUAUUUACGAGUUAUAAAUGUUAUUACUAAUCUUAUAGAGUUGGGAUGUAUUCAAUUUCUCGUGUCUGACAAGUGAAAGAUCUUAGUUGGUGCUUUAAGCUUUUCAUUGACAAGCAAGUACAUCAAUAAUUUUUUUCCCGUUG